AACGAACGCUGGCGGCAUGCCUAACACAUGCAAGUCGAACGAGACCUUCGGGUCUAGUGGCGCACGGGUGCGUAACGCGUGGGAACCUGCCCUUAGGUUCGGAAUAACUCCCCGAAAGGGGUGCUAAUACCGGAUAAUGUCUUCGGACCAAAGAUUUAUCGCCUUUGGAUGGGCCCGCGUUGGAUUAGCUAGUUGGUAGGGUAAAAGCCUACCAAGGCGACGAUCCAUAGCUGGUCUGAGAGGAUGAUCAGCCACACUGGGACUGAGACACGGCCCAGACUCCUACGGGAGGAAGCAGUGGGGAAUAUUGGACAAUGGGCGAAAGCCUGAUCCAGCAAUGCCGCGUGAGUGAUGAAGGCCUUAGGGUUGUAAAGCUCUUUUACCCGGGAUGACAAUGACAGUACCGGGAGAAUAAGCUCCGGCUAACUCCGUG
rnacentral:rRNA from 1 species